CACGUAGUUAGCCGGUGCUUCUUAUACAGGUACCGUCACAAAAGCUUCGUCCCUGUCGAAAGGAGUUUACGACCCGAAGGCCGUCAUCCCCCACGCGGCGUCGCUGCAUCAGGCUUCCGCCCAUUGUGCAAUAUUCCCCACUGCUGCCUCCCGUAGGAGUCUGGGCCGUAUCUCAGUCCCAAUGUGGCCGUACACCCUCUCAGGCCGGCUACCCGUCGACGCCUUGGUAGGCCAUUACCCCACAACAAGCUGAUAGGCCGCGAGCUCAUCUUGCACCGAAAAACUUUCCAACCACCACACUAAAGGCAGCUACUAUCCGGUAUUAGACCCAGUUUCCCAAGCUUAUCCCAGAGUACAAGGCAGAUCACCCACGUGUUACUCACCCGUUCGCCACUCGAGUACCCCUGCAAGCAGGAGCCUUUCCGUCGACUUGCAUGUGUUAAGCACGCCGCCAGCGUUCGUCCUGAGCCAGGAUACAACUC
rnacentral:rRNA from 1 species